UAAAAUGCUUAGUUUUCGAGAUAUUUCACCGGUCCGGGACUUUUUGAACACCCUGUAUAACUAGAAUACUUUAGAAAUGUUUAAUGAAUCUGUUAACCAGAAUCCGCUACUAAACUAUACGCUUAUCCGUAAACUAUACGCUUAUCAAAUGCAGCAUAUCGAGCAGAUCUGAACAUCUCACUCGACGAGCAAUGAAAAAUAAUGUAUCAAAUAUAGCAAAGUAAACUGUAAUUACAAUGAUACGACAUUUAUUGAACUGCAUGCUUAAACAUGGAAAAUUUCAUCGCGUCUGCGACGGACAGCAUGAAAUUAUUAAACGCUAUUAUUAAACGGUAAAACCGAAAAUGACGUCAUCUCCAAUGACUUGUGGAAGCAACGCAGCAUUAUAACGCGCUAACGCGCAUGCCACCUUAAAUUCCAACGUUAAUAUCGAUCAUAGCCGGGAUAUCAGUAUCGCAAAAUGAGCAGCCUACAUUCAAUCAGUCAGGAAUGAGCCACUUAAACCGUCAAUAACUCCGCAGGGGCCGUCAGGGAACUCGAUAUUAAGCAGUAUUUCACGUUCCGGGUUGGCAAUAAAAUCGGACAAUAAAAUCGCUGAUGUGCAGGCUAAAAGACGGAACGCGGAAGGAUGUAAGGUUUCAAAUCGAAGUUUGUCUGAUAGAUUUUAUCAGACACGCUGGCAAACAAGACUGCGAACAAGGCAGUAAACGUGAAUGUCGAUAGCACCUUGAAGCUUAAACAUAUAAUAGUAUUUGCAAGCCGUGCGACCACCCGCUUCGAUGUCAAUCCCCUGUCCGCAAACAAAACUUCCGAUAGAAGACCUUCGUUAAAGAAGAUGCUGCACCAUAAAAGCUAGAGCGUACGUGGAACUACAUACGAAUAGGAGAUCCUGUAUACCGGAUGCUGUACAUCGAGAGCGGAUUCUCAUGAAAACACAAGCGACGACGAAUGCGAAACCCGAAAUCAACUCCAUGACCGAUUCCCUGUCAGAAAAUUAGAUUAAACGCACGAAAUCUAAUGCAUUGGUACCUGAACAAGCACUCGAGGCGAAAACGACCGAACCUGAGUUUCAACCUGUUGCCGCGACUAAAUAACCCGAAAUAACUUAUUCCACUUAUUUGUCACUGAGUAUAAACAAACAUGCGGAUUUUUGGAUGCCAGAAACGAUUCCGCAAAUCAAAUUUCACCAGCACGACAGGUUUCCAUAAUAAUUGAGGUUAAUAUGUAAGAAGUUUAAUGUAAAAAUGGUUUUAUUGCGAUAUUGAUAUUGUUUUGUAAGAAAGAGUAACGUUAUCUUGAAAUUCUGAUUAGAAAUCAUGACUGUAUUGUUCAUUCCCUUUAAAAUGCAUUUUUUAUAAAUUUUAAUAUUUUACUUUUUAAUCAUGUUAUGAAGAAUUAAAGCUAGGAGUUAUUUCUCUCUCUAAUAUGGACGCGCGCGCUUUGGAAGUAGCAUCACACGCACGAUUCGGCGGCUUAGCUGUCGGAUCUCAAGAUUAAUUCUUAUUUUUUAUUAUUUAACAAAUAUUCUUUUUUUGUUAUUUGAUUUUUAUUAUAUUAUAAAAUACUUUUGUAUUCUUCAUAAAGGUAUCCUAUGUUACUAUUUUUAUUUUAUUACUUCUUUAUUACUUCUAGAUUUCAUAUAUUGUCUUUUUAUUGUUUGUUCAUGACGUAGGAACUUGCUCCCAUAAGAUUGGAUAAAUCCUGUGUUAAAGUGAUACUUUCACGUAGUACAGGAUGGGUAACGCUAAACUUACUUCAAAUAAUGAUGGUAUACACACACACACACGCACAUAGACAAGUUGUCUUUUCGAUAUCUUUUCGCUUUGUCGAAAAAAACAACUUAAAAAGAGAUCUUUUCGCAUUUUAUGCUGUCCAAAGUAUGUAACAGAUACAUUUUUCUUUUUUUAAAUUUCACAUAACUUUCUUCACAACAAAACUCAAAAUUUUUUAAUUCAGUGUUCAAAAUUAGAGAAAAUUUAGGUCAAUGAUUACUGCUUGAAGUACGGCAGCCAAGCCGCCGAUCGUGCAUGUGAUGCUGCCGUCAGUGCGCGCGCGUUCAUAUUAAAGAUAGCUCCUAGCUUUAAUAUAUGAAGUAAGAGAUAAAAAGAUCGAACUUGAUAGGAGGCGAGUGCAGGAAGUGAUUCGAGUCUCCUAACUGAGAAGGAAUCCGCUGAAAGGAAUAACUUCUUAUAAUUGGACACCAUUCGUAAAUCAAUAAGAUAGAGCAAGAUAAAAUAUACUUGCCUUACUAUUAUUGCAUCUGUUUAAUAGUGCAGCUCUUUAAUUCCUUUAUAAUCCUUAAUUUAAAUCCUCUUUAAUCCUUCAUAACUUGACUAAAAAGUAAGAUAUUGAAAUUGAAAGAAAAUGCAUUUUAAAGGAGAUAAACUUGACUGUACUGUCAAGAUUUAAAAUAUUAAA